rnacentral:rRNA from 1 species
CCUACGGGGGACAGCAGUGGGGAAUAUUGGGCAAUGGGCGCAAGCCUGACCCAGUAACGCCGCGUGAAGGAAGAAGGCCCUCGGGUUGUAAACUUCUUUUGUCAGGGACGAAGCAAGUGACGGUACCUGACGAAUAAGCCACGGCUAACUACGUGCCAGGAGCCGCGGUAAUACGGAGGUGGCAAGCGUUAUCCGGAUUUACUGGGUGUAAAGGGCGUGUAGGCGGGGAAGCAAGUCCGAUGUGAAAUUCCAGGGCUCAACCCUGGAACUGCAUUUGAAACUGUUUUUCUUGAGUGAUGGAGAGGCAGGCGGAAUUCCGUGUGUAGCGGUGAAAUGCGUAGAUAUACGGAGGAACACCAGUGGCGAAGGCGGCCUGCUGGACAUUAACUGACGCUGAGGCGCGUAAGCGUGGGGAGCAAACAGGAUUAGAUACCCUUGUAGUC